rnacentral:rRNA from 1 species
UCGGGAAUUUUGGGCAAUGGGCGAAAGCCUGACCCAGCAACGCCGCGUGAAGGAUGAAGUAUUUCGGUAUGUAAACUUCGAAAGAAUAGGAAGAAUAAAUGACGGUACUAUUUAUAAGGUCCGGCUAACUACGUGCCAGCAGCCGCGGUAAUACGUAGGGACCAAGCGUUGUUCGGAUUUACUGGGCGUAAAGGGCGCGUAGGCGGCAAUUCAAGUCAUCUGUGAAAUCUCCGGGCUUAACUCGGAACGGUCAGCUGAUACUGUCAAACUAGAGUACAGAAGGGGCAAUCGGAAUUCUUGGUGUAGCGGUGAAAUGCGUAGAUAUCAAGAGGAACACCUGAGGUGAAGACGGGUUGCUGGGCUGACACUGACGCUGAGGCGCGAAAGCCAGGGGAGCAAACGGGAUUAGAUACCCAAGUAGUCCCUGAGCGGGCUGGCAAGGCGCAU